rnacentral:rRNA from 1 species
UACGGGGGGGGCAAGCGUUGUUCGGAAUUACUGGGCGUAAAGGGCUCGUAGGCGGCCAACUAAGUCGGAUGUGAAAUCCCCAGGCUCAACUUGGGAACUGCAUCCGAUACUGGAUGGCUUGAAUUCGGGAGAGGGAUGCAGAAUUCCUGGUGUAGCGGUGAAAUGCGCAGAUAUCAGGAGGAACACCGGUGGCGAAGGCGGGUCUCUGGGCCGAUACUGACGCUGAGGAGCGAAAGCGUGGGGAGCAAACAGG